rnacentral:sRNA from 1 species
GAUUAGCCCCGAUUGAAGCGGUAUCCUGCCGACCACAGGGAGGCAGAUUUAGCGUAAAGCGGGAAUUGCG